rnacentral:misc_RNA from 1 species
AACGCAACUUGCGCUUUUUGGUACUCCGAGAAGCAUGUCUGUUUGAGUGUCAGUUCUACUUCUCGUUAAUCUUAGGGUUAUCGAGGUAUUGAGUUUUCCUGUGCCCCAGGGUUCGUGGGCCAGUGAAGCUUGAAAAAUAUGCAAAGCUGACUACUACAAGAAACAGCAUGUUAGAUAAAUUCUUAAUGAAUUAAACUACUGCUCAUUUUUGUGGUUGGUCUAUUUUUAUUAGCUUUUGUUGAAGAAAUAUAUAUUACCAAGACGUAAAGUCUGCGACUUGAUCUCAAAUCAGACAAGAGUACCCGCUGAACUUAA